rnacentral:rRNA from 1 species
UACAGAGGUCCCAAGCGUUGUUCGGAUUCACUGGGCGUAAAGGGUGCGUAGGUGGCCAGGUAAGUUUGGUGUGAAAGCUCGGAGCUUAACUCCGAAAAGUCAUUGAAUACUAUCUGGCUGGAGGGUCGGAGGGGAGACUGGAAUUCUCGGUGUAGCAGUGAAAUGCGUAGAUAUCGGGAGGAACACCAGUGGCGAAGGCGAGUCUCUGGACGACUCCUGACACUGAUGCGCGAAAGCAUGGGGAGCAAACAGG